rnacentral:rRNA from 1 species
CCUACGGGAGGCAGCAGUGGGGAAUAUUGCACAAUGGGGGAAACCCUGAUGCAGCGACGCCGCGUGAGUGAAGAAGGAUUUCGGUACGUAAAGCUCUAUUAGCAGGGAAGAAAAUGACGGUACCUGACUAAGAAGCCACGGCUAACCACGUGCCAGCAGCCGCUGUAAUACGUAGGGGGCAAGCGGUAUCCGGGUUUACUGGGUGGAUAGGGAGCGUAGACGGCGGCGCAAGUCUGGUGUGAAAACCCAUGGCUUAACCAUGGAACUGCUUUGGAAACUGUGCAGCUAGAGUGCAGGAGAGGUAAGCGGAAUGCCUAGUGUAGCGGUGAAAUGCGUAGAUAUUAGGAGGAACACCAGUGGCGAAGGCGGCUUACUGGACUGUUACUGACGUUGAGGCUCGAAAGCGUGGGGAGCAAACAGGAUUAGAUACCCCAGUAGUC